rnacentral:rRNA from 1 species
UACGUAGGGUGCGAGCGUUAAUCGGAAUUACUGGGCGUAAAGCGUGCGCAGGCGGUUUGUUAAGACAGACGUGAAAUCCCCGGGCUUAACCCUGGGAACUGCAUUUGUGACUGGCAAGCUAGAGUAUGGCAGAGGGGGGUAGAAUUCCACGUGUAGCAGUGAAAUGCGUAGAGAUGUGGAGGAACACCGAUGGCGAAGGCAGCCCCCUGGGUCAAGAUUGACGCUCAUGCA